rnacentral:lncRNA from 1 species
CACGGCAUCUUGAUCUCAAAGUCUUUUGAUCCUUUAUCACUGAAAACUUUUAAUUGUUUGGCAAAGCAGUAAGUAAAUACCAAUCUAUCAUCUGGAAGUAUGCAACAUCCGUAAAUGUAGUCUCCUUGAGUGGUGAUGGUCUUGUGUAUCGUUAGCUUUAUAUUUUCUAUAGAUUUUUUUUGGAACGAUUGGAAUCAUCAAUUGGGCUUGUCUGGCCUUCUUCUUGAUCAGAACUAUGUCGCAUGGAUUAGAUUCAAUACGCACUUCCCCAAAACUUCUGAUAUCGGAUAUGAUAUUCUGGAUAGAGGUGUUGAUUUGAUAUGAAAGAGUAUGCUGUUCCUUGCCUUCUACAAGAGCCUGCAAUUUUUUUUCUUUGCUAUAAACGUCCUCUUCUAUUUGCUUAAUUGAGAGAAACAUUUGAAGAUCUGUUGCGUGUUUCUUGAUGUUCAAUAGGCUAUUUUGGCAUUCUCCUAUUUCUUUUUCUUUCUUUUCUAGCGAGGACAUUAACUGACAAAUUUUAGAGUUUUCUUUUUCUUCGAGCUCGUUGAGUUGUUUCAUUAAAUCUUCUUGUAGUUUGUCGAGAUGGUUGUUGAUUUGUAUUCUGGAACUUCUUGAUUUCUUUUUCAAUUUCCUUUCUCUUUUCUUUAAAUUUCGACAGAUUGACUUGUUGAUGCUGGCGAAUCUUCUUUAGAUUUUCUGCUAUCUCAACUAAUGAUUUCUCUAUCUCGCACAUAGCAUUGGAGGAUUUGGCGUUACGAAUGAUAUUCUCUAAUUCGACAAUUUCCCGGCACUCUUUGUGACAUUCCACGAUACAUGUGCUGCAGCAGGGACAUUCAUGCUUCUGGCAAUAGAAUUGAUAUUUUUUAUCGUGACUGGUACAAUACUGAGUAAUUUUCAGUACAUCCGCUGGCAGUUUCUGGUAUUCGGCAAUAGGUAUCACACUGUGGCUUCUCGAUGACUUAGACAAACUAUGAUGCUCCUUGCAAUCUGAACAUAGUCCCUCGUCACAUUCUGUACACCAGACUAUGCAUGGUUUUUUUGAUGUGACGGAGGUCACAAACACCACAGCUUUGAGAUGAUGCAGCCAUUAAACACACUACAAAAUAAAAUCAAUGAUAAAUGAUUAGCCAUAACAAUAGUUUUGCAGUCGGUGAUACCAUCUUUAAAAGUAAAUAUUCUAAAAUUGAAUUCAAUUUGACUUGGGUUUAAAGUACCUGUAUUUUUAAAAAUCAUGCAGAGGGUGAUUCAUGACAUGUCACAGAAUUAAUUUGUUUUUUCCUAUAUGAUAAAAACAUUGGUAUAUGAGUAAAUUUUGUCAUUAUUUUCCCUGUAUAAUGUGCAUUGCCAUGGUAACCGUCAAAACAACAUUUUGCCUGAAUAUAGGUGAAAAAGACACUUUUGAAAUUGAAAAUAAGGGAACUUAAAGUCCCAUCGAAAUUUAGUUAAUCAAUUAAAACAAUAUGAAUAUUUACAUUGUUAACAAACGAAACCCCAAGCUAUUCGAAAACGUUAAAAUUUUGAAUUUACUAAAUAGUUCGUUUCCAUAGCAACCAUUUAAAAAUGUUUUAAAAUUCGAAAAUGAAUGAUAAUCUUGGUAGAGAAGACUAAUAUAUUACUUGACAAAACAUGUCAUGAAUCAAUUGUGUCAACAUGGUCAAGUCUCUUUUUUCUAUUUUUUUAGGGGAAUAAAUUAAAAACUGUAUUAGUUAUUAUUACAUGUUAUAUUGUUACACAAAAAGGAUAAGAGUUACGGUUCUUUGCAUUAUGUUGUAACCAAUUAUGUCAAAUAAAAUUUGGGAAUUUAUUCUUUUUUUCACAUAUUAAGAUAUAUAACUAUUACAAGAUUUGGACUUUUCUUUCGAUUUGGUGGUAUUUCUUUGGUGUUUUGUCAACUGGCCCCUUUGUAGAAGCUGGGGUAUUAAGACAUACAAUGUACACCAUAUUUAAGUUAUCCUGUUAGUAACCUUCCCAUUGGUACAAUUGUUAAUAUAUCAUAUACAAGUAUUGGUAUAGUAUCAUACAUAUCCUUGUUUAUAGCAAUGAAAUUAUAAACCAUCAAAGACAACAGUUUGACCCAGGUCUGGGACUUGAUAGAAAUAAUCAUAAACAUAAUAUAUAUGUUAUACGUACGAGCCAAAAACGAAAGUUGAAAUUCAUAAACAUUUUGAAAUUUUAUAUAUUUAGGUCAUUCUUGUAUAAGGGAAAAUACAUAAAGUAUCUAGAGAAGAAUUAAUCCUGAAUAUACCAAAAAAACCCCUAAAAAAUUACCUUUUAAAUAGAAAUAAAGUUCAUUCCCGUCUGGUUUACCAGGAAGGUUAUGAAUCACGUGACUGUUUAAACAACUGGUAAAUGCCGGGAAUUUUCAAAUUCCAUCUGCACACUUGCAAGUACGAUAGCGGUGUAUUAAAAAUGAACAUAAUUAUUCCUGACAUUUCUUUUUUUUUCAUCUUUGCGUUUCCAAUUGAUUUGUAGUUAUUUCAUUAGUGUUUUUCAAUUAAGAAAAUCAGGGUUUUGCAAUCGAAAAGUACCACACGUCGUUUAUGCUCCAGCCGCCUUGAAAUUUCCAGAUAAAUUGGACAACCCAUUUGUGUGAACUGCCCUUAUUUUGUUUCAUUCUAAGCAUAUUUCGCAGGUUUUUAACUUUUGUCGCUUUCGCUUUUAACUUGAAAUAAUAGCUAGACCAGAUCUUCAAACAAGAGCCACAAGAAGCGAUAAGUAGAGACAUUUAUUUAAUACAUGUAUUUGUUUUUUUUAAAGUCUGUAACAGUCGACUCCUAAUGAGAGAUUUUGACCUUAAACUACGAUUUGUAUCAAUUUAUUGGGACAUAAUCUUGAAAAUGUUACAUGUAUUUGAACUGAGACUACUACAACAUAUCAAUAGGUUAACGUAUUGCAGUCUCAUUUUAAACAGCAAAAAUGUCAGCUCAGAUAAGAUCUAUAAAUAAGUCAAUAUGUUGGAAAUUGUCAGUUGACGCCUGACGCAUAGGAGUAAUUGUUAUUAUAUUUCGAUUAACCAUUGCUUGCAUUUUAUCAAAAACUUAAGUAGAUAUAGAAAUUUAAUUAGUAAAAUAGAAGCUAUUAAAAAUCAUAACCAUUAGGAAAACAACGGAUCUACAAGAUUAUUUUCAAGCCAACUUGACCGCAAUCACCAGUCGACUCGCUAAUAGACAGAGACUGCACUUUAAUGCCAAUUUCCAUGUAGGUUGUGGCUACAACUAGCCGAUAGAGAGACAUAAUAAACAACUAAACAAAGCAAAAUCAUCAAAUGACUUCUGAAAGGAAUUGGCAUGAAAGAUCAUUUUCUAUCUUUUUGCAUAUAAUCUUGCAGAGAAAAAAAUUUAAGCAGCAACAAUUAUUAGUUAAGUUGUUUUAACAGAUAGUCGUCAUAAAAAGUAUGAUUCGUUAAAGGAUUUUUUAUCCUUCAAUGAAGAUAUUUACACAUUUGAGAAACUCUCAAUUAACCAUAAGCAGCAAAAAAUAGGAAGCAAAAUAAUUCCAAUCUAAAUGAAUCUUGUGAUCAAAAUCGGCAAUAGACACUUAAAAUGAGUUGUUACUCUUGAAUGAAAAUGUUAAUUAAUUUUUGCAUUAUUUUUUCAAUAAUCAUUUUCUAUCUAACAGAACGGCAUCGUCUUUUGGUUUCGUCAUAGCGUGCAUUCUUUGGGUGCUUGAGUUGUUGGCUUCGACUGAUGGCCGACAGGUUUAAAGCAAAUACUUGAAAAUCGGUAUUCACCACUUCUCCACUAAGCUAACCACUCGGUAUUAUGGAGUAUAAGCAAAUAUUUUUUGCCAUGAAGCCGAAUACAAAAACGCUUUAUGUUUAAAGACUGCCACACUCUAAGUAUAUUGCUUUUAAAGUGAAAUCGAUAAAAAAAUUAUAAAAAAGGAAUAGGAAGAGAAUAUUACACUACACUACAAUGUAUAUAUAUCGAUUACAACCGGUCAGUUGUAAAUUGAGGGACAGGGCUGGUCAUUACUUUGUUAUUAUUGUGAGACAGCCUUUUCAUUUUAAAGCCGUAUUGCAGUACAAAAGUUGUGUGUCUCUUUGAUUUGAAGAUCAUGUAAACCUAUAUUAGAUCCGGAUUCUCUUCUGUUUCACUAAAAUUCAAUACGUCUCUAAAAUCUACAACGUUUAAAUUGUUAAAAGUUUAUAUUUGUCUCUCAUUCGAUUACAGAUUUCAUAUAUUCAGUACUUAUGUAAAAUCUCCCCAAUUCAAAACAGAAGUGCAUCCAUUAGACGUUCCGACGGCUUACCUUAUCAUAAUUGAACUUAUAUUGAAAAAAUGCAAUAUGAUAUACUAAAAGACCACACAUUUAAUUAUCUUAACAUUACGAAUGAUAUGAUGUUUUUAUAUUAUAAGGCAAUGUGUUAUGAUUGCCAAUCAGAAAACCAUCAACCAAAUGUUGUAGCUGAUCAUCCGACAACAACGAGCAAAACCAAUACUGCAUCAUUAUCUAUAAAUGGCCCUGACAUAACAAAAUGUAUAAUCAUUCAAAGAAAACCGCGAGGUCCUGAUUUAAACAUGUAAUUGAGUACCUAACGCUUCCGUAACCUGAGACAAUAUGUUGUGUUUAUUAAUGUUCGACGAAUAAUAAUGAAUCCACUAACACAAGAGACAAAAAAAAAUGAAAUGGUGCAUGAUUGUCGAUGAGACAAAUGUAUCAACCAUAAAACACAGUUUCAUAUACAAAUGAUCACUAGUUCAGCGAAAAUGUUCGCAACUUUAAACACCGUACAGUUGCGGAUCCAGAAUUUUUCACAAGUGGGGUUCACUGAAUGCCUAAGAAGGGGUCCGCUCCCGGCACGCUUUAGUGAUUCACUAUAUAACCAAACCUCCAAACCCACAACCCCACAACCCCCCUAAAUCCGCCUCUAACGUAAAAUAUAAAUUAACAAAAAAUAAACUAUACACAAGACAAACAACGGAUAAAGGCGCAUAAUUGCGGAGUGGUAAAAUAUUUUUUGUGAGAUCACAACCCCCCCCCCCCUCUCUCAUACGUCUACCCAAUGAGGAAUUAUAUACAAACACAGCAAUACGUACAGAAAAACUUUGUUUAAAAGAGGAAUGUUAUCUUGCUGACUAUAUGUUGGUACGCCGGUAUGGUGAAUUAACAAAAAUGUAACUGAAAAUAAGGUGUACGCAUAAUACGGCUAUAGAUUCAACGUUUCAAAUCUGUCACCAACAUGUUUACAUGAUUUAGUUAUGCUGAAAUAUUGUAAAUAUAUUGAGUUUCUAAUAUUGUAUGGUCGUAUCUAACUGAUUAGGUUGAAAAUCCGCAUUGCAUGGUCUCGGGGGGCGACUUCAGUACUUUAUUGAUAGUGGGUGAAGCUGGGGUUCUGUUAACCCUCCCUUUUCAUAUAAUUUAGAUUUUUUAAAUGUAUUCCUUUUUAUAUAUUGCGUAGGUAAAAAUGUUACCUUUCUCCAUCUGGUUUUCGUGAUAAAAGCGGAAUACAAAUUCGUCAAAAGAGAGAAAAAAAUGGAUAAAAACACAGCCAGAUUGAGAAACAUCAACAAAGAUGACAAACAAAAAGAAGUUAUGGGAACUUUAUUGAUCUUAUCAUAUGUUUCUGAUAGUUUUCCCGACCUAUUCACAUUUUUCAAGCUUGUAAAUGUGACCUAUUCCAGCGGCACGUCCUAUCACUUUGAAGAUAGGAGGUGGACCCCCAAAGUCCAUGGUAAGAACUCUUUUAAAUAUGUAGGACUCUAAAGUGCGAUGGGGACGCUAAAGUCCGAUGGUCACCCUUAAGUGCGUUGGUAUACGAUAAAAGUGAGAUUCCUCCAUACGCUAAAGAACGAUGGUUCGCGAAAGUCACUGGUAUUAAAGAGAUAAUAGUAACUGCAAUUACGAUUAUCCCAAUAUGGCGACGGUAGAUAUAGGUAAAAUCUUUACACUCGUUUUUCUUCAAUGUAGCAUGUUUUUGUCAAUAGUUACUCAGCUGCAAGGUUUAUCUAUACCAUUACAUCAUAUUUGAAUCGUUACGGUGCACUGGAAUUGUCUAAGAACUGUGAAAAUAGCCGUUGAAAAAUUCGGGAUGAUAAUCGUAACUCUAUGGUAUUUUUCUUCUUUGAUAAUCGUAAUUUUCUUUAUAUGAUAAUAGUAACUGAAACAUAAUAAAUGUGUCUUUCAGCAUUUCAAUGGUAUUUUGUGUGUUAAAAAUGUAAAUGCCCAGUUAAACGAUGACAUUAACGCAUAUAAAAAUAAAUGAAGAAACUGACAGGUUAAUAUCUAGGAUAAAUUUACCUAUAUAUCUCUAAUUGAUGAGAAAAAGCAUGGAUUAGCUAUAUCCCAUAUUCCAAAAGUGCAAUCCUUUCAAUUCAUUGCUCAAAAUGAAAGUCACGUAUACCACAUUUUCAUAUGUCAAAAAAGACAUAUGCCUGUUUCAUUGAUUUCAGGAAGGCAUUUGAUACUAUUAAUAGAGAUGUACUCUUUUACAAAUUGUCUUAUUACAACAUAGAUGGUCCCUUUUUUUAGUAUAAUGAAAGAUAUGUAUAAAGAGGUUUUGUACUUGGUAAAGAUCUCGGAAGGUAUCACUGAUUUUUUUAAUUCCUCAGUUGGGGUUAAACAAGGGUGUAUUUUAAGCCCUACAUUAUUUUAUUUAUAUAUAAAUCAUUUACCAUCUAUUUUUGACUCAACAUGUGAACCACCCAAGUUAAAUGAUAAUGAUAUAUCAUAUCUGUUAUACGCUGAUGAUUUAGUUCUUAUCAAUAAAUUCAGCCGUCCAUAUUUUCCCUUUGGAUUCACUUUUUUCUAUUUUAUACUGAUAUAUGAUUUAAAAAAUUAAAUUCAAUUGUUUUGAUCAAAUUCCCCUGUAUUUUAGGACGUUUCUUUAAACAGUGUGGAUGUUAAAGGAUCUAGAAUAGUUACCAGUUUAUUGUUACUAUUGUUUAUUGUCACUUUUGUUUUUUGUUACUUUUGUUUAUUGUUACUUUUGUUUAUUGUUACUUUUAUCUUUUGUUUUUAUUAGCCUUACCUAUAGUCUUACGAAGCAUUUGACAGACGAAAAAAAACACAAUUAUGUAUAUUGAUAAAUUACAUCAAAGGGCCAAACAUGUAGAUUAUCACAGUCGGAACUGGUUUAAUUACAAAGAUUUUUAUAGAUUUUAAAACAAAUAUUUUGUGCUUCAGAAAAAUGCAUGAAAAUUAGGAAAGGCUAAUUUAUGUUUUCAUUUAAUAGAAAAGUACUAAUUAUAUGGCAAGUAUGCAAAUGCAAAAAUGUUCCUUGUUUAGUACCUUCAAUAUUUUUCUCUACAAUAUCUUCCAUGCAUAUGUAUGCAGCAUACUUUUCAUAUACCGAGUAUUUAUGAAUUUUUAAUAAGUUUGUUUCUAAUUUUGCGGAAUAUGCGUUAUUUUAUUCUCAUCUUUGCAGUCAUUCUUUGAAUAAGUAUUUCUUGUAAGAAAAUUUAAAGCUACAUCAAUUUUAUUUUUUGAUUUUCGGGCUUUUGGCCAAACUAUAAAAGAACACAAAUCCAUGUUUGUCAAUGAACUCCACGUUACUUAAUUUCAUAAUACACAAAGAAUCCCAUUUAGGGCCAAACAUUCUCUAGUCUUAUAUAGCAUUAAAUGUUUUAAGGAUGUCAUAUUAUCAUAAUUCAAAAUUGAAUUUGUGUUGUUUAUAGUUUAUAUCUGAGAUACUGAAAUUUCAGUGACAGUCAUGAAGUAGCUAAUAUGAAUAAGAAGAUGUGGUAUGUUUGCCAAUGAGACAACUUUCCACAAGAGACCAACAUGACUCAGAAAUUAACAAAUAUAGGUCACCGUACGGUCUUCAACAAUGAACAAAGCCCAUACCGCAUAGUCAGCUAUAAAAGAAAUGACACUGUAAAACACUUUUCAAAGUUAUCCCUUGUUCAUCAUAACUUUUAAGUUGUGAUAUCAUCCAUGAAAAAUGAUCGAAGUGACAUGAAAAAUGUAGCCACUAAUUUCUCGUCAAACGGUUUUUAACGAAUACUAAAUGUCUUUCCUACUUCGUUAUGGCAUAAUAGGGUAUGUUCUAGAAUUAAAUCAGCAGUGGCUUCCCGGGGGCAGAAAUAGCACAUAUAACCACCUACAAUAAAAUAAUUUAGUAAAUAUUAACUAUAUUUACUAUUUACUUCAGGAUAAAUUAUUUUUUGUUUACUGUCUUAAUCAGAAAUCUGAUGUAAGGUGACACAUGCGUGUCGCCUGACAAUUAUUGUCAUGUAUCAUAAUUUUCAUCGCUCAUUCACAUAUUUUGUGGCAUACCUAGUUCAAUAAAUUUCUGUAUAUUAACAAAGUUCGUGUUUUCCCAUUUCCAAAUUUCUUGAAGCUUGUUCACCCUUCCAAUUUUAUAAUAUACUAGUAUGUAGCUGUUUUCAUAAGAACAAUUAAUUAUAUAUGCAUAAAAAGAAAUGUCAUAAGAUGUUGGGACGUUUCGUAAAUAAUUCAUCGCCAUAAUUUCAUAAUAUGCUAUCAGAUAUACGUUUUUAGUGUCAAUACCAAUAAAACAGUUUCCAGUUACGAUUAUCUUUUUAUUUUUAAAUACCAUAAUUACGAUUAUCUUUUUUCCGAGUUACGAUUAUCAUCCCGAAUUUUUCAACGGCUAUUUUCAAAGCGCUAAGACAAUUCCAGUGCACCGUUACGAUUCAAAUAUGAUGAAAUGGUAUAGAUAAACCUUGCAGCUGAGUAACUAUUGACAAAAACAUGCUACAUUUAAGAAAAAAUGAGUGUAAAGAUUUUACCUAUAUCUACCGUCGCCAUAUUGGGAUAAUCGUAAUUGCAGUUACGAUUAUCUCUUUAAUACCAGUGAAAGUAUAGACGUAAGAAACGUAGUUUGAUUUUGACGUUAACAGUCGUUUAUACAAACUAAAAAUUAACACCGGGAGACAAUUACAGAUAUUUGAUUAAGAACUAUUCAACUAAAUGUUAAUGACUUAAUAACUUUAAACGUAACCUUGCUUUAUCGACUAAAACAAAAGUAUUUUAUUUCGGUAGCUGGAAGAAUAACUUAUAUCCUGUAGUCGACCGUUUUACUAUAGGCCCUAACCGUAAUAGAUACAAGUAGUAAUCGCAUAGAUAUCCUGUAUCCUUUUUUAGUUCGAAACGAACGGAUUCAAUUAAAUGAUCAUUGUGUAUGUUGCAGUUUAUUUUGCGGUCCCUGUUAAAUUGUUGUCGCUUUUAUUGAAAAGUAACGUCGGCAAAAUAAAGGUACAUGUUUUCAUGCGUAAAUCAUAAAUUGUCGGCUAAAACAUUAGUCUGUACAUUGUAGGAAAAUAUAACAUGUAUGUGUAGUCGCUACAAAAAGGAAAAAUUAAGCUCGGCGAACAUCGCCUUUCUCUCUCAUAUUACAUAUUCCGACAAUAUGUGUUCCCAUAAGAAUGAACGACAAGCUACACCAAUUAUCACAAUAUAUAAUACGCCCGAAUAGUUAUAAAUUCAUUUACAAGAAAUAUAGUAUUUUGUGACACCUAAUUUACCUUAUUUAAUUAUUACGUGGUCAGUCUUUUAGAACAAUUCACUUAAUACUACAGUUUAAUCAUAAAGCCUAUCACAUGUGGUAUACCUAAGCUUAUAAUAAUAGGUUGGGCAAAAGGACAAGUAUUACAUUGAAUGUUCUUAAAGUUUUUUUUAAAGCCCUCGAACCUUAUCCUAUUGGUCCAUUGCACUUUAGCGUGAUAUGCCAUCGUACUUUAGCAAACAAACAACAAUCGCACUUUAGAGUGAGACACCAUCGUACUUUAGCGUAGACCGUCGCACUUUAGCGUGACCAUCGCACUUUAGAGUACCAUCGCACUCUAGAUUCCUACAAAUAUACAGCUGAUGUUUUAUGGCAUGAUCAACAUGCUGAAUUUAGAAGAAAAAAAAUGCUAAUUUAAGUCAGUUUAAAAUAUUUUAAAGUCGUGAUGGAAUGCGAAUGACUGUAUGUGCUCAGUUUGUGCAGGUUAUGAAUCAUGCUUAUUUUACACUUUGUAUUUGCACUAAGCUUUUAUACCUAGCUUAGUUGGCUAAUAAUUCUGCUUAUUACUUCGGUCAAACCUGCUAAAGAUACCACAUGUAUUAAACUGAAAAACUUGUUUAAAAAUACCCUCUAUAUAUAAAUGGAUUUCCUAUAGAUUUUUAGACUAUCCUCCUAUAGCUCACAUUGAUAUUUUAAAAUAUUUGGAUAGCUGAUAAGUCCCUGAUGUGAACUUUAUAUUUCUUUCUUUCGUUUUGUUAGUUGGUUGGAGCUUUUUCAGAUCGUCCCCAGCAUAGCCUGUGGUGGAUUUCGUAUCUAGCAUCAUAUUAAACAUCGGCGCCAGAUAUAGUAUUGAUUUUUCGAAUUCAUUUAUACAUAUGUUUUUUUAUUAAUAAUUCAAUAAUAAAAAGUCAAGGUUUUUUUUUUAAAUAUAUUUAUUUAAUUAAUCCGCGCAAAAGUAGUGACUGUGCAAACAGAUAAAUUAAGUGGAAACGUAGUACGUUUUGUCACCAAACAAUUUUUUUUCGCGCAAACAUAAAACUCCAGAUAAAAAAGUCCGCUUACGCUUAAUGAUCUUUUUUCACCAUUUUGCCAUAUUGGUCAGAAUGGGCGCGGGAACAUUGGACACAUUUUUGUCUACCUGCGACAAAAGUCACGUUAUUCGAGACAUGGAAUGAGUGUGAGUCAGUAUGACAAGUUUCAUCUGACAUUAGCCUCAUUUUCAUGAUUCAUUGGUGAAUGUUACGUUUUUAUUUGUUGGUCUGUUAUUUAAGUAUUAUAAGUAAUAGGUCAACUAUAUUUAGUGUAUUGCAUGAUUGUAUCUUUUACAUGUCUGUCUAGCAAGAAUCAUCAAACCUUUUCCUCAUUUCUUAUGUUAAGAAUUUGUAUUUUGGUCUGUUUUACAAAUACUUAUAGUACUAAAUAAGAUAUAUUUGUUGUUUUGAAUGAUUGUUAGGUGGACAUGUCUGUUUGAUAGGAUCUAUCUUACACUGACCUCAUUGUUAUGGAUCUGUAAAAAUUGUAAAUUGUAUAUGAUAUUUGUAGUAAAAGGUUUAUCUUUAAUACUUUCAACAUUAUAACGAUGGACGACAAGUGAUGAAAACAAACUCAGUGGGUGCUUUUGAUCAGAUUAGCAAAAAAUAAAGGCAACAGUAGUAUAUCGCUAUUAGAAAUUCAUAAAUCGGUUGCGAAAAAAAAUACGGGAUACCAACUAAAACUUAGUAAAACGCAUCAAAUGUAAGAAAAAAACUACGACACAACAGAAACACAACAUUAAAAUGUAACAUACACAGACACGAACUAUAAUAUAACAAUGGCCAUUUUCUUGACUUGGUACUGGACAUUUUAAGAAACAAAUGAUAGGUUGAACCUGGUUAUGUGGCAUGCCAAACCUCCCGCUUUAAUGGCAAUGUUAAAUAUAGAAUUAAAAUGACAACAUUAUAUGACAGGACUACAAUUCAAAUAAAUGGGAGAAAAUAUAGGACAGAGAAACACACGAAUAAUAGCUAAAAAAGGGUAUUAGGUAUAAACCCCAGCACGCCAGACGUGCGCCUCGUCCACACAAGACCAACCAUCGACGCUCAAAUGAAAAAAGUGCAAAGGCCAAAACAAGUUACAAGUUGAAGAGCAAUGAAGACCAAAAGUUCCAAAAAGUUGUGACCAAUGCGACCAAGGUUUUUUGUCUGGGAUAGGAACAUCCUUAUUAUUUAGAAUAAUUCAUACUCUUGCCAACAGUAAAUUUUAUAAAAUGACUAUAUAAUAAAUAUACAUCCCAACUAUGUACUGGCUUCCGAAGCUAAACAAAACACCUUACAAAUAUAGAUUUAUUUCGUCUUCAAGCCAUUGUUCCACUACUAAAUUGUCUAUUCUUCUUAUCAGCACACUUGGUACAAUUAAAAACCUGAUAAUAAAUUGUUCAAAUAAGGCCUUCGAAAAUAGUGGAAUUAAUUACUUUUGGAGUGUCAAAAACUCGUUGGAAGUACUUGAUAAAUUGCAUGCUUAUAUGGGUGAUUUUAAAUCUGUUCAAAGUUUUGAUUUUUCUACCCUGUAUACCACAUUGCCUCACAUUCUUAUUAAGAAAAAAUUCACACACCUAAUUAAAUGGACAUUUAAAAAGUCAGAAUGUGAAUAUAUAUGUUCAAACUCUUUUAGGUCAUUUUUUUAGUAGCAAUAAACAAAAAAACUAUGUCAAUUGGACAUGCUUUGAUACUAUAUAUGCCCUUGAAUUUUUUACUAGAUAACAUUUUUGUUCGCUUUGGGGAUUCCGUAUAUCGUCAGAUUAUCGGAAUUCCAAUGGGGACUAACUGUGCACCACUUAUUGCGGACCUGUUUUUGUAUUGCUAUGAGUUACAAUUUAUGACAAAAAUAAGCAAAGACCCAUCGAAACAACAUCUUAUAAACAAAUUUAAUAAUACUUUUAGAUAUUUGGAUGAUAUUUUGGCUCUCAAUAAUGACGACUUCAGUAUGUAUAUUAAAGAAAUUUAUCCUGUUGAACUUACUUUAAAUAAAGCUAAUACUAACAAUGACCACUGCCCUUUCCUCGAUCUUGAUAUCUAUAUCACUAACGGAAAGCUGAAUCCUAAAAUUUAUGAUAAAAGAGAUGAUUUUUCAUUUCCUAUCGUUAAUUAUCCAUUUUUAGAUGGUGACGUUCCCUUGUCACAAUCUUACGGUGUUUAUAUAUCUCAACUUGUACGAUUCGCUCGUGUAUGUAACAAUGUUUUAGAUUUUAACGAGAGAAAUAUAUGUAUUACUGAAAAAUUAUUACACCAGGGUUUUCGAUAUCACAAACUAGUCAAAACAUUUACUAAAUUUUAUCAUCGGUAUAAGGACAUCAUUCGUAAAUAUAGCUCAACAUGCAGACUUCUUAUACGCUCAGGUAUUUCACAUCCAAUUUUUUAUGGAAAUAUUCUUUAUAAAGCACAAAGGUGUCAGUAUUCACCUCAAAAACUAACAAAACCUUUGAAUAGACUUAUUACGAAGGGAUAUAUAUACGAGACUGUUGUCAGGUCAUUAAAGAUUGCAUAUUUUGGCGUUAAUAUUGAUUCACUUUGCAUCGGAACUAAACACAUUUAUUCAAAAACCAGUUGUUGGCAUGACACGGGUUAUGUUCUUCUCAUAUAUGUUAUGAAGGUAUGAUACUUAACCCCUAACGGGAAGGAUUGUGCCUGAUGUUCAUAUGAUGAAAUCAUAAUCUUUCACUCGGUUUAAUUGAAGUCUGGAGCUGGUAUGUCAGUUAACUGCUAGUAGUCUGUUGUUAUUUAUGUAUUAUAGUCAUUUUGUUUAUUUUCUUUGGUUACAUCUUCUGACAUCAGACUCGGACUUCUCUUGAACUGAAUUUUAAUGUGCGUAUUGUUAUGCGUUUACUUUUCUACAUUGGCUAGAGGUAUAGGGGGAGGGUUGAGAUCUCACAAACAUGUUUAACCCCGCCGCAUUUUUGCACCUGUCCCAAGUCAGGAGCCUCUGGCCUUUGUUAGUCUUGUAUUAUUUUAUAUUUAGUUUCUUGUGUACAAUUCGGAAAUUAGUAUGGCGUCCAUUAUCACUGAACUAGUAUAUAUUUGUUUAGGGGCCAGUUGAAGGACGCCUCCGGGUGCGGGAAUUGCUCGCUACAUUGAAGACCUGUUGGUGACCUUCUGUUGUUGUUUUUUUCUAUGGUCGGGUUGUUGUCUCUUUGGCACAUUCCCCAUUUCCAUUCUCAAUUUUAUGAUAAUACCGGAAUACAUGAUAAAACCAAAUUGAUGGCUAACUACAGACUAAACACGGAUACACUACAUAAAACAACUUAAACAGGCACAUCAUCCGCGUUAGCCAAAGUCAUCAACGCACUUGGUGACGUCAUAUUUGAAUUUCUAAAAAGAUUUACCAAAAAUAAGAUAGAAUCAGGAUAGAAUUCAAGUUUAGAUUUGUAAGACUGAUAACAAAUUUAUUAAUUACUAUGAAAAUUACAAUACUUAUUAAUAUCAAAUUAUGGUUGUAACUAAAUAAUUAAUUAUAUUAUCUAGCUAUGUCGGUGUUUCUUCUGAAUCGAAUUGUAAACCAAAUAUAUGGUAUAAAUUUCGUUGAUCCAAACCAAAAUCUAAUUAAUGAACUAUGAAAAUAGAUUUUUCCAAAAUACAGUUAUUAUAAUCAAUUAUAAAUUAACUACGAAAUUUGUUCAAAGCUGAGGAGGACAUUUAGUUAUAUUUCAUUGUACAAUUACACAUCACUAAUGAUUUAUAAGAAACUAUUUUUAUUAAAAAAUGUAGUUACAUGCAGUUCAUUUUGAAUAUUACAAUGUUUUAACUGCAUUGGCUAAACCAUCUAUUGUAAAUGUGCAAAUAAAUAUUGUCCAUUGUCUAUUAACAUUCAAUUACUGAUCUAAACAUGCAGACAGCAUUUCAAAGUGUUAUCUUUUCAAUUACAAUUAAACAAAAAUGCCAUGUCGUUUUUGGUGUUAGCGACAAGCAACUGAUUGUUUGAUCCACUAUAAUGAAGUGACACAGGACUACUAAGACCAUCACUUGUUGUCAAUAUUUCUCUAUGUUGUUGACCAUCAGGGGAAAUAACUACAACGUUGUUCGAUUUGUACCCCACCACGUACACAUUACCAUCAUUAUCUACAUCAAUACCAUGAGGACACCUCAGAAUGCUUUCGUUAUGAAAUGUCCAUUGUAGUUUACCUUGUAGGUUAUAACAAUUAACAGUUUCUUUUAAGUGGUUUGUAUGAUAUAUGUUGUCCCUAUAGCAUGUAUAGGCUGCAAUGUAGAAAACACUGGGCAUUGCGUCUCGGACUAUGUCACUUAUAGACUCAUCGUUUAAAUCGAUCAUUCGUAUACCUUUUUCUGACCCUGAAUAAAUCAAUUGAUUACCUUUCAGUGAUAUCCCAUAAAUGCCAGCAUCCAAUGCAAUUGAUUUUACCAUUUGUUUUGUCUCCAGGUUUAUUAUGGUAAUGGUAUGUGGACUAUCAGAUGAUACAGCCAAUGUAUUGUCUUCUCUAAUGUAUAGUAUAUCAAACGGGUUACUCGGCAUCUUGACCUCAAAGUCUUUUGAUCCUUUAUCACUGAAAACUUUUAAUUGUUUGGCCAUGUUGUAAGUAAGUACCAAUCUAUCAUCUGGAAGUACGCAACAUCCGUAAAUAUGGUUUCCUUGAGUGUCGAUGGACUUGUGUAUCGUUAGCUUUAUAUUUUCUAUAGAUUUUGUUGGAACGAUUGGAACCAUCAAUUGGGCUUGUCUGGCCUUCUUCUUGAUCAGAACUAUGUCGCAUGGAUUAGAUUCAAUACGCACUUCCCCAAAACUUCUGAUAUCUGAUAUGAUUUUCUGGAUAGAGGUGUUGAUCUGAUAUGAAAGAGUAUGCUGUUCCUUGCCUUCUACAAGAGCCUGCAAUUUUUUUUCUUUGUUAUAAACGUCCUCUUCUAUUUGCUUAAUUGAGAGAAACAUUUGAAGAUCUGUUGCGUGUUUCUUGAUGUUCAAUAGGC